rnacentral:rRNA from 1 species
CAGGUGGAGCCUGCGGUUUAAUCGGACUCAACGCCGGGAAACUCACCAGAUAAGACAGCUGAAUGAUAGUCGGGCUGAAGACUCUACUUGACUAGCUGAGAGGAGGUGCAUGGCCGUCGUCAGUUCGUACUGUGAAGCAUCCUGUUAAGUCAGGCAACGAGCGAGACCCACGCCAACAGUUGCCAGCUCGUUCUCCGGGAUGGUGGGGACACUGUUGGGACCGCCUCUGCUAAAGAGGAGGAAGGAAUGGGCAACGGUAGGUCAGCAUGCCCCGAAUUAUCUGGGCUACACGCGGGCUACAAUGGGUGGGACAAUGGGUAUCGACACCGAAAGGUGAAGGCAAUCUCCUAAACCCAUCCGUAGUUCGGAUUGUGGGCUGCAACUCGCCCACAUGAAGCUGGAAUCUGUAGUAAUCGUGUCUCAAAAUGGCACGGUGAAUAUGUCCCUGCUCCUU